UACGAAGGGGGCUAGCGUUGUUCGGAAUUACUGGGCGUAAAGCGCACGUAGGCGGACUAUUAAGUCAGGGGUGAAAUCCCGGGCUCAACCCCGGAACUGCCUUGAUACUGGUAGUCUCGAGUCCGGAAGAGGUGAGUGGAAUUCCGAGUGUAGAGGUGAAAUUCGUAGAUAUUCGGAAGGAACACCAGUGGCGAAGGCGGCUCACUGGUCCGGUACUGACGCUGAGGUGCGAAAGCGUGGGGAGCAAACAGGG
rnacentral:rRNA from 1 species